GGAGAAAAAAUGUUAAUUAUACUGAUAUGAGCUCCAAUUGUGAAAGUGAUGGUAAUGUAUUAUGAUUUUGAAGUUGAUUUUGAACCACAAACAAAGAAGGCGAAGCAUAAAGAGAAGGAAAUGAACAAAGAGAAGAAAGGCGAGAGAAGGCCUUCCGUUCGUGAAAAGUUGUACCAAAGAGAUAUAGAAAAAGCAAUUGAAAUGUCACUAAUAAAUACACCUUAU